GAACACAUCAGAGGCUCGAACUGGAGUUGCAUUUCAAGACAGAGGAGAACAAGUCUUUGAAGAAGCAGAAUGAAGAGUUGAGAGCUGAAAAUGAGUACUACAGGAAGACGGCAAAGCCACAGAAAAAACGAAGGCUGUAAGGAAUAUGUACUCAAUCAUGACUACCGCAACUGCCCUGAGAGGCACGCUUCGACUUAUUCUGAGGAAAGAUGAAUGCGAUGGCUCCAACUAACAGCCAGUGAAAUUAUGUUGUGUUAAUACCUAGAUAGUAUGAUUUAGUUAGGUAGAUUCUGCUCACAUGGCAAUGCCUUUUGUUGCUUUAGUGAUGCUUUUACAGUUAUGCGAGCUGUAAUGGCCGCUAGUUAUUACUUAUCUUAGAAAUGGGCUUGCUGCAGAACAUUAAGGUGUCUACACUUGUUGAUCUGUUCAGUCUCCUCUGGUGUUUAUCUGAACGUAGGUGUAUUAUUCGUACUGAAUCUGUUGGGCAACGGCUGACUAGCAACGGAAUGGUUUUAUGGUUA